rnacentral:rRNA from 1 species
CAGGCCUAACACAUGCAAGUCGAACGCUGUAGCAAUACAGAAAGGCAGACGGGUGAGUAACGCGUGGGAACCUUCCCAGUGGUGCGGAAUAGCUCAGGGAAACUUGAGGUAAUACCGCAUAAGCCCUUAGGGGGAAAGAUUUAUCGCCAUUGGAUGGGCCCGCGUCGGAUUAGCUAGUUGGUGAGGUAAUGGCUCACCAAGGCAACGAUCCGUAGCUGGUUUGAGAGAAUGACCAGCCACACUGGGACUGAGACACGGCCCAGACUCCUACGGGAGGCAGCAGUGGGGAAUCUUGGACAAUGGGCGCAAGCCUGAUCCAGCCAUGCCGCGUGAGUGACGAAGGCCUUAGGGUUGUAAAGCUCUUUUGCCGGGGACGAUAAUGACGGUACCCGGAGAAUAAGUCCCGGCUAACUUCGUGCCAGCAGCCGCGGUAAU